rnacentral:rRNA from 1 species
GAUGAACGCUAGCUACAGGCUUAACACAUGCAAGUCGAGGGGAAAUGAUAUUGGAAGCUUGCUUCCGAUAGGCGUCGACCGGCGCACGGGUGAGUAACGCGUAUCCAACCUGCCCACCACUUGGGGAUAACCUUGCGAAAGUAAGACUAAUACCCAAUGAUAUCUCUAGAAGACAUCGGAAGGAGAUUAAAGAUUCAUCGGUGAUGGAUGGGGAUGCGUCUGAUUAGCUUGUUGGCGGGGUAACGGCCCACCGAGGCGACGAUUAGUAGGGGUUCUGAGAGGAAGGUCCCCCACAUUGGAACUGAGACACGGUCCAAACUCCUACGGGAGGCAGCAGUGAGGAAUAUUGGUCAAUGGGCGAGAGCCUGAACCAGCCAAGUAGCGUGCAGGAUGACGGCCCUAUGGGUUGUAAACUGCUUUUAUAAGGGAAUAAAGUGAGUCUCGUGAGACUUUUUGCAUGUACCUUAUGAAUAAGGACCGGCUAAUUCCGUGCCAGCAGCCGCGGUAA